rnacentral:sRNA from 1 species
UAUUUGCGUGAGCGAUUACAGUGAAAAUCCUUUUUUUGCUAGGAAAAAGCUUUGGCAAAAAAAGAUUGCAACGGAAAGCGCAGUCUUUU